rnacentral:rRNA from 1 species
UCGAACGCGAAGUUCCCYUCGGGGRGCRAGUAGAGUGGCGCACGGGUGAGUAACACGUAGGUAAUCUACCUUUGGAUGGGGAAUAACAACCGGAAACGGUUGCUAAUACCGCAUAAUGCAGCGGCACCUAAUGGUGACAGUUGUUAAAGCGGGGAUCGMAAGACCUCGCGUCUGAAGAGGAGCCUGCGGCRGAUUAGCUAGUUGGUAAGGUAACGGCUUACCAAGGCKRUGAUCYGUARCCGGCCUGAGAGGGCGGUCGGYCACACUGACACUGACAUACGGGUCAGACUCCURCGGGAGGCAGCAGUCGGGAAUUUUGGGCAAUGGGCGAAAGCCUGACCCAGCAACGCCGCGUGAAGGAUGAAAUCCCUCGGGAUGUAAACUUCGCAAGAACRGGAAGAAUAAGUAGGGGACAAUACCCCCUAUGAUGACGGUACUGUUUGUAAGCUCCGGCUAACUCCGUGCCAGCAGCCGCGGUAAUACGGGGGGAGCAAGCGUUGUUCGGAUUUACUGGGCGUAAAGGGCGCGUAGGCGGCCWCYGCAAGUCGGYUGUGAAAUCUCCGGGCUUAACCCGGAAAGGUCAAYCGAUACUGCAGGGCUAGAGUGCAGAAGGGGCAACUGGAAUUCUCGUGUAGCGGUGAAAUGCGUAGAUAU